rnacentral:rRNA from 1 species
GACGAACGCUGGCGGCGUGCUUAACACAUGCAAGUCGAACGGAAAGGCCCUGCUUUUGUGGGGUGCUCGAGUGGCAAACGGGUGAGUAACACGUGAGUAACCUGCCCUUGACUUUGGGAUAACUUCAGGAAACUGGGGCUAAUACCGGAUAGGAGCUCCUGCUGCAUGGUGGGGGUUGGAAAGUUUCGGCGGUUGGGGAUGGACUCGCGGCUUAUCAGCUUGUUGGUGGGGUAGUGGCUUACCAAGGCUUUGACGGGUAGCCGGCCUGAGAGGGUGACCGGCCACAUUGGGACUGAGAUACGGCCCAGACUCCUACGGGAGGCAGCAGUGGGGAAUAUUGCACAAUGGGCGGAAGCCUGAUGCAGCAACGCCGCGUGCGGGAUGACGGCCUUCGGGUUGUAAACCGCUUUCGCCUGUGACGAAGCGUGAGUGACGGGAAUGGGUAAAGAAGCAGCGGCGAACUACGU